UAGUUUUCUUGCAAAACCUUUUUAUUUUUAUUUUAAUUACACCCUGCUGAAUCAUAUUAAAAGUAUAUUAUAAAAUUCUUAAAAUAACCAACAUCCAUAUAAAAUAUAAUACUUAUAGAAGUCUCAAAAUAUAUAGAUAGCAAAAUCUAAACAAUAAUUGUGUCCAAUACAUCCACAAUACCAAGCAUCUACCAAAUAUUCUUAAAAGAACCCACAUCCAUCAAGUAUAUAUUGUUGUUACACAAUUUUAUACAUUUCAACAAAAUAGAUCAUCAAAAACCAAUGCACUAAUUAAGGAUUGCAAUCAUCAUUUGAAUGUAAAGGAUCAAGAUCAUCAAAAGUAGAAGAAUGAGGUGUCACAAUUGAUAGGGAAGAAAUAAACUUCUGUACCUCCUCAAUGACAAUAGGAAUAAAUGGACUUUUAAGUGCAGGAGUCAACGCUUCACAAACUUUUCCAAAUCUGCAGCUGGUUCUAAUUCAUGAGAAGCUGAUGAUGAAGCCUUUCCUGAAGAGACACAAAAACCUUACCCAUAGUAACCUUUUGCUUCAGAUCCAAGACCAAAUACUCAUCACUUCUUCUCUCCUUCGACAGCUAGGUAAUAUGCUUCAGAUUGAUCAAUAUCAGAUUGUGAUAAUAUUUUUUCUCAUAAUAUUUCUUCAUAUCUUUCCUAUAAUGUAAAGUGAAAUUAUAACAGAUUGUACUAAAAAUGAUAGAAUGAGAAGAGGGAAAAAGGCAAAAUUUUUAAGUCUAAAACCAUAUUACUGCUUACAUAUGAUAUCUGUAGCCUUCUAAAAUUAAAAAAAAAUAAUUCUAUCUUUUGAUCAAACUUCAGUGCGAUGAUCUCAGUACUUUUCAUUAUCCACAUUAAGUAGACUAAUAAAAACUAAGUAAAUUAUUUUAAGUAGAUACCAAAAACUACUUUAAACUAAAAAAUAAGAGAUAAGUAAACUAUAUUAAGAUUUAGUCUUACAUGGACAAUUCGGGAACAUUC
rnacentral:lncRNA from 1 species